rnacentral:rRNA from 1 species
UCGAGAAUCUUUCACAAUGGGGGCAACCCUGAUGGAGCGACGCCGCGUGGAGGAUAAGGUCUUCGGAUUGUAAACUCCUGUCAUGCAAGAGCAAUGUUUGCGGGCUAACACCCCGCAAAACUGAUAGUAUUGCAAGAGGAAGAGACGGCUAACUCUGUGCCAGCAGCCGCGGUAAUACAGAGGUCUCAAGCGUUGUUCGGAAUCACUGGGCGUAAAGGGUGCGUAGGUGGCGUUGUAAGUCAGAUGUGAAAGCCCGGGGCUCAACCUCGGAACUGCAUCCGAUACUGCAAUGCUAGAGAAAUGGAGAGGAGUCUAGAAUUCACAGUGUAGCAGUGAAAUGCGUAGAUAUUGUGAGGAAUACCAAAGGCGAAGGCAGGACUCUGGACAUUUUCUGACACUG